rnacentral:rRNA from 1 species
UACGUAGGGUGCGAGCGUUGUCCGGAAUUACUGGGCGUAAAGAGCUCGUAGGUGGUUUGUCGCGUUGUUCGUGAAAACUCACAACUCAAUUGUGGGCGUGCGGGCGAUACGGGCAGACUGGAGUACUGCAGGGGAGACUGGAAUUCCUGGUGUAGCGGUGAAAUGCGCAGAUAUCAGGAAGAACACCCGUGGCUAAGGCGGUUCUCUAGUACGGUACUGACGCUGAGACGCGAAAGCGUGGGGAGCGAACAGG